CAAGAGGAUGCAUGUUUAGUAAUUGAAGACAUCACUUGAAAGAAUGUAUUCCCUGGUGAGCAUCAUCUGACUCAGCAUCUACAGUUAGAAUAUGAAGGACAAAGAUGAACACACAGCAAAACCAGACACAGCACUUGGAAAAACAAUAUGGUGAGAAGAGGGCCUGGCAUUGAGCCUUGAGGAACUUCAGAAAGAAAGAGAUAAGGCUACCAAGGACACCCAGAAGAAGGUCUGGGAAGAACACCAUUUAAUUCUCCGCAACUGGAAGCAAGCGAGGAAAAAGAAAGACUGUGAAGAAGCUCAUGAGAUAUUUUAGGGACCAGUCCUG
rnacentral:lncRNA from 10 species